UUUUUCAAACGGAGUGUCUCUUCUAACCCUAAAUUUGUGCUUCUUCCUGUACGAUACGUUUACUGUUUUGUUUCUUGCUUUCAGUAGACGACAGGAAGUUAUCGAAUAUCGGUAGGCAUAUGGCAAACAAAAAAGCAAAGAAAUUCACUCUGUGACGCUCACUCUUCCCGGUGGAAUCACCAUGAACAUGCCGUGGUCAGCAUGGCUGCCGCGAAGGGUUCGUCUCUGCUGCUCUGGUGAUUUUUCUCUGGAAAGAACUUGUUGAGCAGAUCAAACUGAGCUGGGUAACAGGCGGAUGUAAAUGAUGAUUCUGGUCGAAAGCCCGUGCUCAAACAUUU
rnacentral:telomerase_RNA from 1 species